rnacentral:rRNA from 1 species
AUUCCAGCUCCAAUAGCGUAUAUUAAAGUUGUUGCAGUUAAAAAGCUCGUAGUCGGAUUUUGGCAUCACGCCGAACUGUCUGCCGAUUGGUAAGUACGGUUUGGCGGGUGCUUCCUUCCGGAGGCUCGUUCCCUUCUUCAUUGAAGGGUUCGUUGGUUCCGGGUCUUUUACUUUGAGAAAAUUAGAGUGUUCAAAGCAGGCCUAUGCUCUGAAUAGGUUAGCAUGGAAUAAUAGAAUAGGACUCUGGUGCUAUUCUGUUGGUUUCGAACACCGGAGUAAUGAUUAACAGGGACAGUCAGGGGCACUCGUAUUCCGCCGAGAGAGGUGAAAUUCUCAGACCAGCGGAAGACGAACCACUGCGAAAGCAUUUGCCAGGGAUGUUUUCAUCG